UGGCGGGCUCGCUAUAACUCCGAGCGUAGUAGUAAAAUAUCUCGCUAGGGAGGUGUCGCGGGUUCCGGCCGUGAAAGCCCAUCUUUUACACAAGGUUGACCUCGGAUCAGGUAGGAAUACCCGCUGAACUUAAGCAUAUCAAUAAGCGGAGGAAAAGAAACCAACAGGGAUUGCCCCAGUAACGGCGAGUGAAGCGGCAACAGCUCAAAUUUGAAAUCUGGCUUCGGCCCGAGUUGUAAUUUGUAGAGGAUGCUUUUGGUGAGGUGCCUUCUGAGUUCCCUGGAACGGGACGCCAGAGAGGGUGAGAGCCCCGUAUAGUUGGACACCGAGCCUCUGUAAAGCUCCUUCGACGAGUCGAGUAGUUUGGGAAUGCUGCUCAAAAUG
rnacentral:rRNA from 1 species